AAUAUAUAUUGAUGGUGCAUUAUUCUAGUCGUACUUUUUUAUUACGAGGGUGGGGCUAAAAAUCCACUAAAGGGCAUAUAAAUUUGGGCUUCUUGUUUGUGCGCGAAAUGCCAGUUUUGUGUGUGAGUAGGGAGUAAGAUUUAAGGGUAAGGUGUAGUGGCAUAUGCUGGAUUCCCUUAUCUCGCUGAAACUUAAGAAGAAACUUUAAGUAAAACCUAUGAUGAGUGCCAAGACACAAAAUGCAUAGUGUAGCCUGUCUUGAGUGAAGGUAUUGGGAUUAUGUUAAACUAUAUGAAAUUGCCUUUGCAAAAAAGACUAGUAAUAAAUAAAAGUGCGUUAAGGAAAACUUCUAGAAUGUUUGCUUUGUCAAAAGGCAAGAAAACAUAAGGAUUAAGGUACGGAUUUAAGUGGCGAUCUGGUGUCUAAUACCAACCUUAGAUGUUUUCUUUAAACGGAAACGGCUAUAUAGCAAUAUAUAGUAGAAAACAGAGAAAUUCAACCAGACCUAAACCGUAAAAUUUACUUAUGUUUUUACCAUCUUAUACUUUU
rnacentral:sRNA from 1 species